AAGGAACUAAAUAGGAUUCCCUUAGUAAUGGCGAACGAAGGGGGAACAGCUUGGGUUGGAAACUAAGGCUUCGGUCUUGGGUUGUGACCUGCAGACACAGCACCAACAGCGGCGCAAGCGUAAGCCUCUUGGAAAAGAGCAUUCACUCGGGUGAGAAUCCUGUGCGUCGCUUGACGUCCGCUGCGUACGGUGCGUGCUCUUAAAGUCACGCUCCUUGGAAUUGGAGCGUAAAUUAGGUGGUAAAUUUCAUCUACAGCGAAAUAUAAGCUCGAGACCGAUAGCAAACAAGUACCAUGAGGGAAAGAUGAAAAGGACUUUGGAAAGAGAGUUAAAAGUGCUUGAAAUCGCUGAAGGGGAAGCGAAUGGAACCAAGACCCUGGCUGAGACUGCUGCGAGUUUUCACUAGCCUUGUGUGUGAAUGCGUAAGCUUUUCGCACAUACGUGAAGGAACGCUCGCGGUGUUUCUCAGCUUGCUCGUCAGCUGCAACGCUCGCUUGAGGAUGGCCCUUGUCGCGCGCGGCUCUUCUGCGGAAUUGCUUCGGCGCCUCUGGGGAUUCAGGCGAGCGUGUCUUGCUGAUUAAAUGGUUCUCUUCGACCCG
rnacentral:rRNA from 1 species